CCGGGCAGGACUCUCGUUAAGAACCCGUCUUAGUGACAAUGAAUCAGUUUCACUCGUUCACACUCACCACAUGGUGCAACCAAUUCAUCACACUAUCGGCCCACAGGAACCCUCUUCACAUCACACAGAACCCUCUUCACAUCACACAGAACCCUCUUCACAUCACACAGAACCUCUCUUCACAUCACACAGAACCUCUCUUCACAUCACACAGAACCCUCUUCACAUCACACAGAACCUCUCUUCACAUCACACAGAACCUCUCUUCACAUCACACUAUCGACCCACAGAACCCUCUUCACAUCACACAGAACCCUCUUCACAUCACACAGAACCCUCUUCACAUCACGACAGAACCCCUCUUCACAUCACACUAUAGGCUCACAGACAGAACCCUUCUUCACAUCACUUUUCAAUCUGUUAUUUAUACAUGGAAAAACAAAUGCAUGGUAGACUGCGACAAAUGCAUGGUAGAGUAUGAUCUGCAUGGUAGAGUAUGAUAUGCAUGGUAGAGUAUGAUAUGCAUGGUAGAGUAUGAUAUGCAUGGUAGAGUAUGAUAUGCAGGGCAGAGUAUGAUAUGCAUGGUAGAGUAUGAUAUGCAUGGUAGAGUAUGAUAUGCAUGGUAGAGUAUGAUAUGCAUGGUAGAGUAUGAUCUGCAUGGUAGAGUAUGAUCUGCAUGGUAGAGUAUGAUAUGCAUGGUAGAGUAUGAUAUGCAUGGUAGAGUAUGAUCUGCAUGGUAGAGUAUGAUAUGCAUGGUAGAGUAUGAUAUGCAUGGUAGAGUAUGAUCUGCAUGGUAGAGUAUGAUAUGCAUGGUAGAGUAUGAUCUGCAUGGUAGAGUAUGAUCUGCAUGGUAGAGUAUGAUCUGCAUGGUAGAGUAUGAUAUGCAGGGCAGAGUACGACAAAAGCCAAAGGGGAAGCUUUGUAGAGGUGUACUGUGAGGUGUUCUUUUGCGCCUGAAGAAUGAGAAGUGAGCAUCACCACACAUCCCACAAGGGGAAACAACAUAAAGGGAAACAAGCACAAAUAUUAUCACACAGCUGGAGCACUUCAAAGGUGUGGUCCAAAUGUGUCAAAUUAGGCUAAAUACUGUACUCCUCGCCGUUCUCUAGCCGUCCGAUGUGUGCGCGAUCAAAGAAAAUUCCGGUAUUCAUAUACGGUCUUGGCUCUGUAACUGGAAAACAACAGGGCUGCAGCUGUAUAGAAAAUUCCUUACCAGGAUAUUCAAAGAAUGCGGUUUGUGGUAAUACUGCAACCAACCCCCCCGUGUGUUUGAUCACUUCCGCCAAGGACGUUAUAGUUUUAUUGUGGUUUAUUUGUCUGUCUGUAAACAGGAUUACGCAAAAACGAUCGAACAAUUUUCAUGAAACUUGAUGGAAAAGUGUAGCGUGGGCCAAGGAAGAGGUAAUUUGAUGAGUUAAAAAUGCACUUAAUUAAAAAGACUAUUUUGGCAUGGCAUGUCUAGCUUGUCUGUUAGUGUUGUGUGCAAUGAUGUGUAGUCAU
rnacentral:lncRNA from 1 species